rnacentral:lncRNA from 1 species
AUGCAGUAUUGCUUUACUCUAGGAUUUCAUAUCCAGCUUAGGAAAUUUAUAUCAGUACCAUCUCCUUUUGUGCUUUACGUUCUGCAAAACUUUAGAAGCAUCUUCUGCAAACAGCAGAUGAUGAGAACAUUUCUAGUUUAUGAUGCGGAGGUUUCUCAGUCAGAGAGCUGGGGCAUGCUAGAUGAAGCCAAGAGUUUGGAAAAGAGAGAUUACAGGAUUCCUCAUUUAAAGGUUCUCUUGACUGUGGUGAUACAAUCCCUUUUUGGGACAUUUGGAGGACGUGCUACCUGCCACCGAGCCUGCUUGGAAAAAUUGCAGUGUGUCUUCACAGAUCGGCCUUCAGGGCUGACCUGCACCUGCCCAGCAAGGACUGCUCAUUCACUCCUGCUGUGGAUGCUUGAUGGAGCUGCGGGGUGCGACAGGCUGCUCAAGGAUGCUGGGGUCUUGCAGCAUUUUCCUAGUGAAAUUGGAGCAGGUCUGGUAUCCUCAUCUGUAAAACUGGUUUAACAGGAGUGUUCUGCCUUCAAAACAAGAGGAAAACUACUGCAGUUAAGAUAGUGAACUGCUACUAAACAGCUGGAUCUAUGCAAAUAUCCCAUCCAGUGACGCUGAUGUGGUGUCAGAGGAUGAGGUCACUGCCUCUUGUCACUUGGGUGAGCCUGAAGCUCUAUGAAAAUAAGAACACCAUGUAGCUCAUCUCCCAGUUUUACAGAAAAUAAAUACCUUUUCUGAAGCUGUGGAGGAUUUGUGCCCCUAUGUGCCCUUUUCUAUCAAUAAUCACAUUCCUGACAAAUGGGAAGUCCUUGGCAUGCUGUCUCUUUCUUCUUUUAUUACUUGUGUGGUGUCUCCAGCUCAUGUGAGGAUGUUUCAGCCCGGAAAGGUUGCUGAGCUCUUAAGUUUUUUGUUCCCAAAGAACCACUGCUGCAGUCCAUCCAAAUAUCUCUGUGCUCAGGCUUGAAGAUCCCUGCUGUCUAGAAGGGGGGUAGUGGGCUUGUCAAAGAGCCACAGAUGAUGCUGUGGAUGUGUUCAAGUUGUGGGCAAGCGUUCGUUUGGGACCCUUGGUGGCUGGUAGUGUUUAGUAGAGAAGCAAUAAAGGAUUAGAAAUUAUUGACUCCCAACCAUUAAGAAAGAGAAUAAAGUAAAUACUUGGGAAAUUAAUGACAAUGCAAUUUCCAUAGAGUUUUAUAUUUAAUUUACAUUUUUAUUAAAGGCUUCCUAGUCCCCUGCCCUACCCUUUUAAUUUUCUCCUGUGUUAAGCAAAGUUCUAUUUGUUCAAAACAGAUGACAAAGAGUCUUAUGAAACUCCUGUUCUUAAUAUCCUUGGAAUUCCUACAAUGCUUUGCUGAAAGUUGUAUCAAGAAAAUGUUAUUAAUACUUAUAACUGCUAAAACAUUAGCAUGUUCUUCAAAUUAUACUUCUGAUAGAAGUGACAAUUAAAAAAAACUCCUGCAAAGUGAGAUGUGUGGUUUUUUUAA